UCCUGACUGACCGAUAGUGAACCAGUACCGUGAGGGAAAGGCGAAAAGAACCCCGGCGAGGGGAGUGAAAAAGAACCUGAAACCGUGUACGUACAAGCAGUGGGAGCACAGAGCAAUCUGUGUGACUGCGUACCUUUUGUAUAAUGGGUCAGCGACUUAUAUUCUGUAGCAAGGUUAACCGAAUAGGGGAGCCGAAGGGAAACCGAGUCUUAACUGGGCGUUAAGUUGCAGGGUAUAGACCCGAAACCCGGUGAUCUAGCCAUGGGCAGGUUGAAGGUUGGGUAACACUAACUGGAGGACCGAACCGACUAAUGUUGAAAAAUUAGCGGAUGACUUGUGGCUGGGGGUGAAAGGCCAAUCAAACCGGGAGAUAGCUGGUUCUCCCCGAAAGCUAUUUAGGUAGCGCCUCGUGAAUUCAUCUCCGGGGGUAGAGCACUGUUUCGGCAAGGGGGUCAUCCCGACUUACCAACCCGAUGCAAACUGCGAAUACCGGAGAAUGUUAUCACGGGAGACACACGGCGGGUGCUAACGUCCGUCGUGAAGAGGGAAACAACCCAGACCGCCAGCUAAGGUCCCAAAGUCAUGGUUAAGUGGGAAACGAUGUGGGAAGGCCCAGACAGCCAGGAUGUUGGCUUAGAAGCAGCCAUCAUUUAAAGAAAGCGUAAUAGCUCACUGGUCGAGUCGGCCUGCGCGGAAGAUGUAACGGGGCUAAACCAUGCACCGAAGCUGCGGCAGCGACGCUUAUGCGUUGUUGGGUA
rnacentral:rRNA from 1 species